GACGAACGCUGGCGGCGUGCUUAACACAUGCAAGUCGAACGGAAAGGCCCUGCUUGCAGGGUGCUCGAGUGGCGAACGGGUGAGUACCACGUGGGUGAUCUGCCCCUUACUUUGGGAUAAGCCUGGGAAACUGGGUCUAAUACUGGAUAGGACCAUGCUGUAGGUGGUGUGGUGGAAAGAUUAGUUUCGGUAAGGGAUGAGCUCGCGGCCUAUCAGCUUGUUGGUGGGGUAAUGGCCUACCAAGGCGUCGACGGGUAGCCGGCCUGAGAGGGUGGACGGCCACAUUGGGACUGAGAUACGGCCCAGACUCCUACGGGAGGCAGCAGUGGGGAAUAUUGCACAAUGGGCGCAAGCCUGAUGCAGCGACGCCGCGUGGGGGAUGACGGCCUUCGGGUUGUAAACUCCUUUCAGCCAUGACGAAGCCCUUGUGGUGACGGUAGUGGUAGAAGAAGCACCGGCUAACUACGUG
rnacentral:rRNA from 1 species